UCCUACGGGAGGCAGCAGUAGGGAAUCUUCCGCAAUGGACGAAAGUCUGACAGAGCAACGCCGCGUGAGUGAUGAAGGCUUUCGGGUCGUAAAACUCUGUUGUUAGGGAAGAACAAGUGCUAGUUGAAUAAGCUGGCACCUUGACGGUACCUAACCAGAAAGCCACGGCUAACUACGUGCCAGCAGCCGCGGUAAUACGUAGGUGGCAAGCGUUAUCCGGAAUUAUUGGGCGUAAAGCGCGCGCAGGUGGUUUCUUAAGUCUGAUGUGAAAGCCCACGGCUCAACCGUGGUGGGUCAUUGGAAACUGGGAGACUUGAGUGCAGAAGAGGAAAGUGGAAUUCCAUGUGUAGCGGUGAAAUGCGUAGAGAUAUGGAGGAACACCAGUGGCGAAGGCGACUUUCUGGUCUGUAACUGACACUGAGGCGCGAAAGCGUGGGGAGCAAACAGGAUUAGAUACCCUGGUAGUCCACGCCGUAAACGAUGAGUGCUAAGUGUUAGAGGGUUUCCGCCCUUUAGUGCUGAAGUUAACGCAUUAAGCACUCCGCCUGGGGAGUACGGCCGCAAGGCUGAAACUCAAAGGAAUUGACGGA
rnacentral:rRNA from 1 species